rnacentral:rRNA from 1 species
CUGGGCUCGAAAUGUAGUGGACCAGCCUAGAAAUAGGCCUUCCCCGCAAGGACACGAUUAUAGGUGCUGCAUGGCUGUCGUCAGCUCGUGUCGUGAGAUGUUGGGUUAAGUCCCGCAACGAGCGCAACCCUUAUUCGUUAGUUGCUAGCAUUUAGUUGAGCACUCUAGGUGGACCGCCGGUGAUAACGGGGAGGAAGGUGGGGAUGACGUCAAGUCCUCAUGGCCUUUAUGUCCAGGGCUACACACGUGCUACAAUGGCCGGUACAAAGCGAAGCGAACCCGCGAGGUGGAGCUAAUCGGAAAAAGUCGUUCUCAGUUCGGAUUGCAGUCUGCAACUCGACUACAUGAAGUUGGAAUCGCUAGUAAUGGCGGAUCAGCAUGACGCGGUGAAUACGUUCCC